rnacentral:rRNA from 1 species
UACGUAGGGUGCAAGCGUUAAUCGGAAUUACUGGGCGUAAAGCGUGCGCAGGCGGUUUUGUAAGUCUGUCGUGAAAUCCCCGGGCUCAACCUGGGAAUUGCGAUGGAGACUGCAAGGCUAGAAUCUGGCAGAGGGGGGUAGAAUUCCACGUGUAGCAGUGAAAUGCGUAGAGAUGUGGAGGAACACCGAUGGCGAAGGCAGCCCCCUGGGGUCAAGAUUGACGCUCAUGCACGAAAGCGUGGGGAGCAAACGAGG